AGGAUAAACGCUGGCGGCGUGCCUAACACAUGCAAGUCGCACGAGAAAGGGACUUCGGUCCUGAGUACAGUGGCGCACGGGUGAGUAACACGUGAAUAAUCUACCUCCGAGUGGGGAAUAACUGAGAGAAAUCUUAGCUAAUACCGCAUAACACUUACGAGUCAAAGCAGCAAUGCGCUUGGAGAGGAGUUCGCGGCAGAUUAGUUAGUUGGCGGGGUAAUGGCCCACCAAGACGAUGAUCUGUA
rnacentral:rRNA from 1 species